UGUGGAAGCACAGUAAUGUGUGUAGCUAACCGAUACUAAUAGCUCGAUUGAUUUACUUUGCUGUGAGAUUACAUAUGCAUA
rnacentral:rRNA from 1 species